GAACGGGAAAAGUAAAAUGAGAAUGAAUGUAACGUUCGUGAGAGAGAGAAAACUAUAUCUUUUUCCGCAGUUAACUCAACGUUAAAAUAAUGCCGUUGAAGUAGGGCACAGCUAUUACGUAAAGAUACCAGAUCGUGCAAGUAGCAUCAAUGGCUUGCUCCAACCUGGAUACGUCAGGUAGAUUUCUCACGAGACUCUUUCGGCAAGAAUUCCAACUUCGCCAUUUAUCACAACCAGAUGAGAAAAAGAAAUGGACAUACGGCGAUAGCGAUAGCAGCAACCGGUACAAAUCACUUUUCCGAAGCAAGAUGUAGAGCAUUUACGAAAUGUCUGACGUUAAAUGUAAUGCAAACUUAUCACAAUAUGUAACUUUCACUGUGUUUCGCCAGAUGUUCUCGAUGUGCAACGUAAAUUUGUUACAAUGUGACAUGGAGAAGCGAGAGAAAUCUGGUUUGCAAAAUCCGUACAUUUAUCUUUCGUAGUUCAACAUUGCAAAUUUUAUCAAACAUCGCCCUUAAGACUCAGAUAAGAUUUGAUUAAAUAUAAGUUUCAAAAAUGUACACGCAUGUAUACGGUCUUAAUAAAAUAAUGCGACAAAGAUAUUUUUGCUUUUCUCCUCAGAUUCCCGAUUUAGGAAAACCGCGUGGCACGCAAGUUAUAUAUUAAGUUAAAAAAAAAAAAAAAA